ensembl:ncRNA F09F3.18 ncRNA
UUGAGAGAAUGUGGUGUUUAGCUCAUUGAAACUAGUGACGGUUGGAAGACCAACGAGUUGUCUGGAAAUUGAUGUUUCUUCUGAAACAUGUAGUGUGAAAUCUCACCUGUAUUGAAUGUAAGGGAACAGACCCAUAUCUCUUCCUCU